AUUGAACGCUGGCGGCAUGCCUUACACAUGCAAGUCGAACGGUAACAGGUCUUCGGAUGCUGACGAGUGGCGAACGGGUGAGUAAUACAUCGGAACGUGCCCGAGAGUGGGGGAUAACGAGGCGAAAGCUUUGCUAAUACCGCAUACGAUCUCAGGAUGAAAGCAGGGGACCGCAAGGCCUUGCGCUCACGGAGCGGCCGAUGGCAGAUUAGGUAGUUGGUGGGAUAAAAGCUUACCAAGCCGACGAUCUGUAGCUGGUCUGAGAGGACGACCAGCCACACUGGGACUGAGACACGGCCCAGACUCCUACGGGAGGCAGCAGUGGGGAAUUUUGGACAAUGGGCGCAAGCCUGAUCCAGCCAUGCCGCGUGCAGGAUGGAGGCCUUCGGGUUGUAAACUGCUUUUGUACGGAACGAAAAGGCUCUGGUUAAUACCUGGGGUCCAUGACGGUACCGUAAGAAUAAGCACCGGCUAACUACGUGCCAGCCGCCGCAGUAAGAC
rnacentral:rRNA from 1 species